UAAACAUUAUUUAGAUGAAGUGGUCUGGGUGCCUACAUUGUCCCUUUAAAUUUGCUACACUUUAACACCUCUGCUUCUCUAUAACCCGUACAUCUACUCUGAAGCAUUUUCAUUCUGUAACCACCAAAUGUCUAUUGUAGCUGGGUGGCAAGGGAGCACUGUCCUCUGUGCUCUUCUUGCUCUACUCCCUUGUGUGCCCUGCUGUGAUGCCAGGAGACGGAAUAAGACAUCAGUCCGGCUCCAGUAUCACUGUGUGGUGCACAAGAGAUCAGAACUAAAACAUUACAGCACCUUUGUGCACCCACCUGCCUGCCUGCCCUGCAGCCCAGUCAGAAGGCAGAAUAAUCCACUCCAACUCUGUCAAAGGUAGAAUUUAAAAUAAAAUGUGUGUGAGUGUGUCAGUAUCAAUGUGUGUCUGUCAGUGAAUGUGAGUCUGUCCGUGAGUGUGUAUGUUUCUGCCAGUGAAUAUUUGUGUCAGUGAAUGUGUGUGUGCGUCUGUCAGUGAAUGUGUGUGCCUGUAAGUGAGUGACUGUGUGUGUCUAUUUCUGUGUGUCUGAGUGAUUG